rnacentral:rRNA from 1 species
CCUAUGGGGUGCAGCAGGCGCGAAAACUUUACAAUGCGGGAAACCGUGAUAAGGGGACACCGAGUGCCAGCAUCAUAUGCUGGCUGUCCAGAUGUGUAAAAUACAUCUGUUAGCAAGGGCCGGGCAAGACCGGUGCCAGCCGCGGCCCGAGUGGUGAUCGUGAUUAUUGGGUCUAAAGGGUCCGUAGCCGGUUUGGUCAGUCCUCCGGGAAAUCUGAUGGCUCAACCAUUAGGCUUUCGGGGGAUACUGCCAGGCUUGGAACCGGGAGAGGUAAGAGGUACUACAGGGGUAGGAGUGAAAUCUUGUAAUCCCUGUGAGACCACCUGUGGCGAAGGCGUCUUACCAGAACGGGUUCGACGGUGAGGGACGAAAGCUGGGGGCACGAACCGGAUUAGAUACCCCAGUAGUCC